rnacentral:rRNA from 1 species
GCUAAAAAACACAGCCGACCUAACACCCAAAACCCCACCAACUUUUAACCAAAACAUUUGCCCCGGCCAGUAAAUGAGAUUAAACACCAUCAACCGGCCCCUUAAGUACCGCAAGGGAACAAUGAAAGAACAAUGAAAAACUUUAAGCACAACACAGCAAAGACUAACCCCUGUACCUCCUGCAUCAUGGUUUAGCAAAACUUUUCAGACAAAGAGAGCCUUUAGCCUGCUUCCCCGAAACCAAACGAGCUAUUUUUAAGCAGCUAACAACAAGAGCAAACCCGUCCCUGUAGCAAAAGGGUGGGAAGACUUAAAAAUAGAGGCAAAAAGCCAACCGAGCUUGGUGAUAGCUGGCUACUCAACAAAAGAAUUUAAGUUCAACUUUAGGCACUCAAUGAGCCACCUAUUUAAAACUCACUCCCUCUAUACCUAAAGAAAAUCAAUGGGGGUACAGCCCCAUUGAACCGGAAUACAGCCCGAACUGAGAGGAAAUCACCCCUCUUUCUUACCCGUAGGCUUCAAAGCAGCCACCAAAUAAUUGCGUUAUAGCAUAUUUACUAAACAAUUUUAACAAUUUAACUAACCUCCUAACUUAUAAUGAGUUAUUCUAUACUAUUAUAGAAAUACCAAUGCUAAAAUUAGUAAUAAGAAACACUUAUUUCUCUUGUGCACCCCCUUAAAUCAGACUAGAAAAACUACUGACAAUUAACAAACCAACCAAACACCACAACUUAUCUAGCCGAAGUGUUACUAAAAACUUGUUAACCCCACACAGGCGUGCAAAAAAGAAAGACAAAAAGCCGCAAAAGGAACUCGGCAAAACUUAACCCCAACUGUUUACCAAAAACAUAGCCUUUAGCCCCACAAGUAUUAAAGGUUCCGCCUGCCCAGUGACUCUUUAAACGGCCGCGGUAUCCUAACCGUGCAAAGGUAGCAUAAUCACUUGUCCCUUAAAUAGGGACUGGAAUGAAUGGCUAAAUGAGGGUUAAACUGUCUCUUGCGAGCUGGUCAAUGAAUUUGAUUUUCCAGUAAAAAAGCUGGAAUAAACACAUAAGACGAGAAGACCCUGUGGAGCUUCAAAACCAAGUUCAUCUAACUAAUGCUUCCUUAGGUUUUCAGUUGGGGCGACUUUGGAGUACAAAAAAACCUCCAAACCAUGUGAAACCCACUAUAUCAAGAACAACAAACCAAAAAUUACAAACGACCCAGCAACAGCCCUCACUGUUGUCUGAUCAACGAACCAAGUUACCCCAGGGAUAACAGCGCCAUCCCCUUCUAGAGUCCCUAUCGACAAGGGGGUUUACGACCUCGAUGUUGGAUCAGGACAUCCUAAUGGUGCAGCCGCCAUUAAGGGUUCGUUUGUUCAACGAUUAAAGUCCUACGUGAUCUGAGUUCAGACCGGAGAAAUCCAGGUCGGUUUCUAUCUAUGCAGCACUACCUUCAGUACGAAAGGACCAGGAUAGUGGGACCAAUACCAAAAGAAUAUCCCAACUAAAACUACUGAACCACCCUAAAGUAGCUAACAUCACCACCACUUUUAACCAAAAUCAGGUUUA